AGACGAGUGAGAGCUCUGAGAUGGACGCUUGCGAUGUCUGCAGCCGUCUAAGGCAAGAGAGGAUUAAUACACUGUAAAAUCCGUUUCAGAAUAAACAGAGUGGAAAGCGAGCCCUUGUG